rnacentral:lncRNA from 13 species
AGGAAACCUGGCACUAUCACUACGGUGAAGAAUGGUGGUUGCAGCAUCAUGCUGUGGGAAUGUUUUUCAGUGGCAAGGACCGGGAGACUAGUCAGGAUCGAGGCAAAGAUGAACGGCACAAAGUACAGAGAUAUCCUUGAUGAAAACCUGCUCCAGAGUGCUCUGGACCUCAGACUGGGGUGAAGGUUCAACUUCCAACAAGACAACGACCCUAAGCACACAGCCAAGACAACGCAGGAGUGGCUUCUGGACACGUCUCUGAAUGUCCUUGAGUGGCCGACCCAGAGCCCGGACUUGAACCUGAUCGAACAUCUCUGGAGAAACGUGGAAAUAGCUGUGCAACAACGCUCCCAAUUCAACUUGACAGAGCUUGAGAGGACCUGCAGAGAAGAAUGGGAGACACUCCUCAAAUACAGGUGUGCCAAGCUUGUAGCAUCAUAUCCAAGAAGACCCGAUGCUGUAAUCGCUGCCAAAGGUGCUUCAACAAAGUACUGAGCAAAGGGUCUGAAUACUUAUGUAAAUGUGAUAUUUAAAUGUUUAGCAAAAAAUUCUAAACAUGUUUUUGCUUUUUCAUUAUGGGGUUUUGGGUGAAGAUUGAGGGGGGGGAAAAAACAAUUGAAUCAAAUUUGGAAUAAGGCUGUAACGUAACAAAAUGUGGAAAAAGUCAAGGGGUCUGAAUACUUUCCGAAGGCUUUGUAUACUGUAAAACACUGUAAAACCCUGUUUAUGACCGCGCUGCCUCUUUAAUAAAGUUGCCUUUUUAUUCCUUGGCCAUAAUAUCAAACUGCAUGUAUUUGUAUUGUAUCCUUCCUUUUCCUUCCAUUUUGAUCUCUUCCAAGGAAUUCUGCCUCCCAUUGAAACAUUGCUUAGCACCUGAGUGAUGUAACAUCACAGUACGUGAGCACCAAUGGAAGUUCAGGAAUAUACUUCUUGAGAGACAGACAGGAGAUGUUCAAGGAGCAGGACAAGUGGAGAUCUGUCCAGAGGAAAGGGCAGGACAGGUGGAGACGCAUCACUGCAUUCAAUGAGUCAGAGGUGUUGCGUGAGUCCCCCGGCAGACAAGAACCAACUGUGUUAAGCAGGAGGCGCUGCUUAGGGCAACUCGUGAAGUGAUGAAAAUGCUAAAUGAUGGAAAUCUCUUUUUAUUUAGACGGAGCUACCGAAUGUAAUCUGGUGCAAAGGGAUGACGCCCCCGGAAAGCACAUGAAAACAUUGUUUAAUGAACUCCUACAUUCUGUUUAGUCAUAAACCUACUGUAGGAUCACACUGAUUCUGACAUGGGGCCUAAAAGCCACACUACAUGAUGGGAAAGCUACUCAGUGACAUCACCCUAAAUUAGUAGCAACUAGCAUGUGUAGCAUGUAGAGGUUUUGCUGUGACACAAGCAGAAUGACACACCUGUCAAAGAGGCAAGAAAUAGUGACAUUCGAUUCUGUUCUUUUUUCUGAAGUCUACAGUCUUAAACUCUUCUGAAUAUCAUCAGUGGUCUUGCCUUUGUGAGUGUGUGUUUUCGUAACUGGAGAACCCCGAAGUUGACCCACCGGGAG